UACGUAGGGUGCAAGCGUUGUCCGGAAUUAUUGGGCGUAAAGAGCGUGUAGGCGGCCCGAUUAGUCCGCUGUGAAAGUCCAGGGCUCAACCCUGGAAUGCCGGUGGAUACUGUCGGGCUAGAGUCCGGAAGGGGCGAGUGGAAUUCCUGGUGUAGCGGUGAAAUGCGCAGAUAUCAGGAAGAACACCGAUGGCGAAGGCAGCUCUCUGGGACGGUACUGACGCUGAGACGCGAAAGCGUGGGGAGCGAACAGG
rnacentral:rRNA from 1 species